GCAGAAUUCGUGAAUCAUCGAAUCUUUGAACGCACCUUGCGCUCCUUGGUAUUCCGAGGAGCAUGCCUGUUUGAGUGUCAUGGAA
rnacentral:rRNA from 1 species